AUGGCGGAACUGGUUGUUGAGUUGGCCAAGUCCGUGGUGGAGGGCGCUCUGACCAAGGCCCAGUCGGCGAUCGAGGAGGAGGCCAAACUCCGGCAGAGCGCGCAGCGCGACCUGGUGUUCAUCACCGGCGAGUUUGAAAUGAUGCACUCAUUCCUCAACGUCGCCACCACGGAGCGCGUGGAGAACAAGAUGGUGAUGACCUGGGUGCGGCAGGUCCGCGAGCUGGCCUACGAUGUGGAGGACUUCAUCGAGUUUGUCGUCCACCUCGACACCAAGGCCAGGUGGUGGUGGCGUAUGGUACCGUCCUGGUGCAUAACGCCGCCACCGACGGCGCUGUCCCUGGAGGAGGCCGUCGAUGAGAUCGAGCAGCUCAAGGCCAGGGUGGAGGCUGUGAGUACCAGGAACUCGCGCUACAAUCUUAUCAGUGACUCAGGCUCCAAGCCGGCAGUCACGAAUCAUCAGCCCAUCGCGGCCGGUGCCAUCACCCUUGGCACAACCGCAUUCAACGUGCUUGCUGAGGCUAGGGACUCUGCGAGGAGGCAACAAGGCUUAGGGGAUCUCACCCGGUUGAUCACCAAGAAAGGGAAGGACCUUCAGGUGAUCACGGUGUGGGGAACAGGAGGUGAUCUUGGGAUGACCUCCAUCAUCAGGAAGGCGUACAAUGAUCCAGAAAUCUGCCAGAACUUCCCUUGUCGCGCCUGGGUGAAGCUCAUGCACCCUUUCAACCCCCAUGAGUUCGUGCAGCGCUUCAUGGCACAGGUCUACGCCGCAAAAGCUCGCGGCGGCGAAAAAAAAGGAGCAGGUGUGGGUAUAGAUGUCCUCACCAAAAUGGAGGCCAUGCAAGAAGAUGUGGUUGCGCUCAGGCGUGAGUUUGUAGAGGAAGUCAACACCAAGACUUACCUCGUCGUCCUGGAGAACCUGACCGACAUGGUGGAUUGGGAUGCCGUAAGGAUGUUACUUCCUGACAUGAAGAAUGGCAGCUGGAUCGUCGUGUCCACGCAGCAAUUCGAGAUUGCAAGCUUGUGCAUUGGACACUCGUACCAAUCAUUGGAACUCAAGCAGUACUCGCCUGAGCACUCCGUAUGUGCCUUCUUCAACGAGGGUUCCCAAGACUAUGGGGACAAAGAAGAGAAACCAAUUGUGUGUCUAGUGAAUCCAAAUUCGUCCUUGGAAAACCUUUCCCCCGGUAACAAGAAUGCAGUCAAUGAGUGGAUGACAAAUUAUCCCCUCACUGGACGAGUGUCAGAAAUGAAUGAACUUCGCACUAUUACAGCUAAGGCACGUUUCAAGAAUUCACAUGUUAUAUCGGUUUGGGGGAUAGCUGGUAUUGGGAAAUCAGCUCUUGUUAGGCACUUGUACUAUGACAGGAUGCUGCUCUCAAACCCAAUAUUUCAGAAGUACAGUUGGGUGGACGUUUCCCAUCCUUUUAAUCUAAGGGAUUUUUCUCGAAGCAUACUUUCUGAUUUUCUUUCUGAAAAAGACCCAAUCAAUGAGUGUUGCGAGCUUCUAAGACAAUAUCAUUGUCUUGUUGUUAUUGAUGAUCUCCAGUCUAAAGAAGAGUGGGACUUAAUACAGGCGGCCUUGAUAACUACUGAUUCGAAAAGUGUUAAUACAGGCGAUAGAUAA
rnacentral:rRNA from 1 species